GGGCUCUUUGUUGCCAACUGAACUGCUUGAGAAAUACAGCAUCCAAAUGUACUCUACACUCAGACCACAACUUAUUUUAUAGUCUUCAAUAAGACUUUCAUUCUUUAAAA